UACGUAGGUGGCAAGCGUUGUCCGGAUUUACUGGGCGUAAAGAGCGCGCAGGCGGUCGAUCAAGUCGCGUGUGAAAGCCCCCGGCUCAACUGGGGAGGGUCACGCGAUACUGAUCGACUCGAAGGCAGGAGAGGGUAGUGGAAUUCCCGGUGUAGUGGUGAAAUGCGUAGAUAUCUGGAGGAACACCGGUGGCGAAGGCGGCAUCCUGGACCGGUAUUGACGCUGAGGCGCGAAAGCUAGGGGAGCAAACGGGG
rnacentral:rRNA from 1 species